AAUUGACGAACCGGAGUUCGUAUGGUUGAAGGGCACCGUGGACAAAACCAUGGCAACGGUAUUUGGAAGUAUCAUUCCCUCUGACGUUAUUCCCGUCUUGAAGCAUGUUCCUAUCCCUUCAUCCCUCUCGGUGAAACGACUCAUAAAGAAACUGACCGACUUCCAAAAUGUCAAACUGGCAGAGCAUAAGACAACAUUGAACUCGGGUAACCUUAGAGAUAUUAUGGAUCAAAUUUUGAUACUGAAGGAAGAAAUGGGAGCCGAGAGUGAUGACAACGCAAAAGAGUCGCUUACUGACACUCGCAUACGCCACACCCUAUUGGAUAUAUUCUUUGGUGGAACGCAGACCACGGUUGACACGUUGAAGUGGAUGAUUAUGUAUGUAGCCGAU